GUGGGGAAUAUUAGGCAAUGGGCGAAAGCCUGACCUAGCAACGCCGCGUGAAGGAAGAAGGCCUUCGGGUUGUAAACUUCUUUUAUGAGGGACGAAGGACGUGACGGUACCUCAUGAAUAAGCCACGGCUAACUACGUGCCAGCAGCCGCGGUAAUACGUAGGUGGCGAGCGUUGUCCGGAUUUACUGGGUGUAAAGGGCGCGUAGGCGGACUGGCAAGGCAGAUGUGAAAUACAGGGGCUCAACCCCUGAACUGCAUUUGAAACUGUUGGUCUUGAGUAUCGGGGAGGCAAGCGGAAUUCCUAGUGUAGCGGUGAAAUGCGUAGAUAUUAGGAGGAACACCAGUGGCGAAGGCGGCUUGCUGGACGACAACUGACGCUGAGGCGCGAAAGCGUGGGGAGCAAACAGGAUUAGAAACCCGAGUAGUCC
rnacentral:rRNA from 1 species